GUUUGGACACUGCCUUUACUUCCAAGUGCUGCACUGUGUUAUUGGCAGAGGACAAAGACCAUGGCAGCGAUUGUAGCAGCAUACUAGCUGUGGGUAGCUUUUACUGAGUAUAGUAAAAUAGUUUGCCUCAUGUAGUUGCUCUGGGACCAUGAAGUUCACUGUGUCAUGGGCGGGGGGCAAUGCCCUCUGAGAGCAGAAACAUGGCACCCCACUGGCACACACUAGCUGAUUCUGGGGUGCUCAGCCCUGCAGGGACCUGAAGAUGCUUCCUGCAAUAUUUCGGAAGCCACAUGCUGAUCCGUGAGGGUGCGGGUGUGGGCACUGCGCCCCACCACUGAAGGUUCAUUCACCCACCACUGACCCCGCUCCCGACUUCUCUUUCCACAGAGCCUGGCCCAGCCCCUUCGCUGCCCCCCGAAUCCUGCCUGGUGCUCAGGGCCAUCAGCAAAGUCCUGGGAUCCUUUCUUGGUCUUCUUCUGGGCCUCCUGGGCCUCCUGACCCUGCUCCGAAUCACACGGAUGAAGCAGGGAGGUGUGCACACCUGCCCCAGCCCCCUGGUCAGUGUGGUGAAAACGAGAGCAGCACUCCAGCCUGGUGUUGUGGUCCCUAUGGGGCAGGGGCUGGGGGGUGGCAUUCACAGAGUGUCUUCCUACUGGCCAAAGAGAGGGACUUGGAAAGUAAUUGGCCCCUGACUCCUGGGACUCUGGGUUGAAUCUUAGAGGGCCCCAUCAGGAAGUCACGCUGGGGCUCAAGGGGGAGUUGCAUCUGGCUUCCAUGAUGAGGGGCUGGUGGCCAGCCAUGGGCACCCAUGGAGGGGGAUGGUCACAUCCCUGCAGCCUCCAGGUCCCAGCCCGGAGCAUUCAGCCUUUCUGCUGAGUGGUGUCCUGAGGUCGCCACCCCACCUCCAUGGCCGCAUCCACACCGAGGGCCUGUGUGUGGCCAUGCUCCUCCCUGCCUUAGGUCUGGGGAGCUCCAAGGCACCUCCUGGAGAACCCCCUUGUGACCUCCUCGGGGAGCUGCCUCCAGCUGUGCCAGAUGAGGAAAUUGCGGAGCCUGAGCUAAGCCCCCGGGUGAGGAGGACCACGGUGCGGUUGGAUGCCCGUGGCAGAGGGACGUCUGAACAGACCGGACUACUGUGUUGUGUUCAAUUUGAGAACGAGUGCAGCGUCCUCAAGGCUCGCAUAGAAUCCCGGCCCUCCUCCACCCGCGUGUCCCCCCGUCCUUGUUCCUGCUGGGAGGUCCUCGCUGUGGACAGAUGUGCUGCGUAGCCUGGAGGCUCCUGGUUAUGACAAAUACAAAUGCGUGUAGAAAUCCAUAGCUGUGCUUCAUUUUUUUUUUUUUUUUAAGCACAAUGGUAUCAUCCUCACGUUGCAGAAUAAGUACCGGAGCCUCCGUGGUGGAAGCAGGCACUCACUUCCCUUCCCCGUUUUUGAUCCUUCCUAACGGCACCCAGAGGGUCUCGCAGACUCUCGGUGAGUGAUCAUGCCACCUGCGAACAACGUCGAACUUACCCUCGCCUUUCCAGUUCUCGCACCUUGAGUCUCCUCUUCUUGUGCAUAUUUCACAGGCCAGGACCCACCCCGUGCUGAAGAGCGGGCGGCGGGCGGGCACCUUCCCUUCUCUGAUUUGCAACAAAGAGUGACGGGGUUUCAUACUUCAUGUCACCCAUGAAUGGGACAUCUGAGGUUCUUUUCUUUGGUAGAUGUCAUUUAUCAGACCAAAGACAAUCCAAUCUAUUCUGAAUUUUUUAGGUGUUUUGCCUUUUUUCAUGAGAACAUUGGCCUAGAAAAUGGUUUUCUGUGUCCGUUAAGGUAACACAUGACUUUCCUCCACUUUUUGGUUAGCAAGGUGAGAGCAGUAUUGACUGAUUUUCAAAUGUUAAACCAGCCUUGGGUUAAACGAACUCAGCUUUGUCAUGGUGUGACGUUCUUUUGCAGUUCUCAGAAGUAAAUAGAGGAGAAUUUGAUGUAUAAUUUUCCUUGUUGUGAGUGUUUCUGUUUCAUUUUUUGGUAUAAUGAUUAUUCAGC
ensembl:lncRNA